GGGUGAGUAAUGUCUGGGAAACUGCCUGAUGGAGGGGGAUAACUACUGGAAACGGUAGCUAAUACCGCAUAACGUCGCAAGACCAAAGAGGGGGACCUUCGGGCCUCUUGCCAUCAGAUGUGCCCAGAUGGGAUUAGCUAGUAGGUGGGGUAACGGCUCACCUAGGCGACGAUCCCUAGCUGGUCUGAGAGGAUGACCAGCCACACUGGAACUGAGACACGGUCCAGACUCCUACGGGAGGCAGCAGUGGGGAAUAUUGCACAAUGGGCGCAAGCCUGAUGCAGCCAUGCCGCGUGUAUGAAGAAGGCCUUCGGGUUGUAAAGUACUUUCAGCGGGGAGGAAGGCGAUGCGGUUAAUAACCGCGUCGAUUGACGUUACCCGCAGAAGAAGCACCGGCUAACUCCGUGCCAGCAGCCGCGGUAAUACGGAGGGUGCAAGCGUUAAUCGGAAUUACUGGGCGUAAAGCGCACGCAGGCGGUCUGUCAAGUCGGAUGUGAAAUCCCCGGGCUCAACCUGGGAACUGCAUCCGAAACUGGCAGGCUUGAGUCUCGUAGAGGGGGGUAGAAUUCCAGGUGUAGCGGUGAAAUGCGUAGAGAUCUGGAGGAAUACCG
rnacentral:rRNA from 1 species